AUAACUUUUCAGAUAAGUAUUGAUGUUCCAAAUUAUCGUGAAGAUAUAGAGGACAGUUUGUUUCUCGGAUCAUCACCCAUUCCAACACCAACAAGGUAUGCAAGAGAAGGCUGCAAGUUUGCAUCCCCUCGUCAGUCCAGCUGCAGCUCCUCGUGACUUCAAAAUGUAGUAUUGUUUACUGUAGUUUAUAUAUUUUGCAUCACUUGUUAACUUCAGGUAGAGGUUUUUAUUACUUUCACAAGAAAGUGCAAUUGAUUCGCCACAGUCAAGAAUUUUUUUAUUAAUUUUUUUUUUUUUGUGUAGUCUCAUUUACUCUUAUAGUUAGAAAUGUUGAAAUAUGCUUUAGUAUUAGUGAGUGUUAUUUUAAGAGUACAUACUAUGCUGUAAACCUGUUUUAUAUUAAUUACGUACACGUUUCAGUUUAGCAUUUAUUGGAGGAUAGACAAAUUGUAAUUUUUUUUUAGUUUGCUGCAACGAUUUUUAAAAAUCAAACUAGUAGAUACUAAUUUUAUUCUGAAAACUCUUAUUAUUAUUAGAAAAGUUUUCCUCCUGUAGUUGUUGCUUUUGUCAUUUUAUUUAUGGAUAUACAAUGCUUUGUGUUUAUUGCUCAGCAUGUUUACCUUUAUGCAGUAUAUCAAUAUUUAUAUUAACAUGACUGUUAAUCAAGGGAUUAUAAAACCAUUAUAACAGAUGUAUUAGCUCAUUUCUUGUGUUUCUAUUAUACUGAAGCUGUUUUGUAUAAUAAUGAAAACUUUAGUAGAAUUCACUACCACCCAAGAGCAUUAUGGGGACCAAUGUAAUAGACAGGGAUAUUAGAUAUACAAAAGAACAGUACGUAUUUCGGGUAGUACAUACAAAAGAAGUAAACGAUCCCCAAAAAAUAAAUUGACAUUUUUCAUAAGACCUGGUACUGGAUUUAAAAAAAAAGAUAGUAGUAAAUGCAAGGACAGUGACUGACUUUAGUGUACGUAUAAGGAGCAAGAAAUGCAUCUCUUACUCUUGAUGAACUCAUGUGGCAAGCAAGGCUGAGCUUUCAAGCUGUACCUCAUUCUGUGGUCCUAAGUCUUUACCUUCAAGAUUCAUUGAAUGCUAUUAUCAUUCCAUUCUUCCAUUUGCCUUGUUUGAUUGUUGAGGGUUCUGUAAUAAAUUCAGAUUCGUUUCUGCUCUCAAAUAUUUUGUUUCUCCUUUCAAUAUUUCAUCUCAUUAUCUACUAAAAUUUUUUCUUCAUCUGCUAUCAUGAUCCUCACCUUCAUGCCAAAGUAGGUAUAAAAGGUGUAAUCAGAAAUUAAUAAAGGAGUUGAAAUGUUAACAUGUAGUAGACAAAAUUUGUGGCAAAAAAUUUUCUUUAAAAGGAAUUGUGUAUAGCUCUAAAAAUGGAAGAAUGGCAAAAUGGGUUUAGACUUUUAUCAUAAGUUAUACUAUGCAAUCUGAAUGAAUUUCUGGCAAGUGUUUAAAGCAUUAGUCAAGUUAAGUCACAUAAUACUGGUGUGAUUGUUAUAUGCCAAAGUUAUGAAUUAGUUUAUACUAAUAUUAAAUUAUUUUAAUUUUGUCCCAUCUUAAUUGAAACUGUAAGCCGUAAGUUUUAAUAUUGGUAAAUUAUACAAAUAAGAAAAGUACAUGAAAUGAGCACUCAAAGUUCUUUAUUAUUUUAAUUUAAGGGCAAAACCAUUCCAAGUGUCAAAAUUUUAAGUAGUGGGGAACCAAAGGACACUUGCCUGGAUUUGAUGUCUUGAAUUUAGUCCUUUUACCAUCGGAAGUUUGGUCAUAAUUUCUUUACUCCUAUAUUUCAUGUAUGAUUGUGCAAUAAUUUAACCAAGAUGUAAUAACUAAAAUCAAUGGCUAGGGCUUAAUUUAGCUGCAACUUGAGUUAUGUCCAUUGAUUUUGGUUUCUCACCAAUUUGUAUUGUAAUUUGAAUUGUAAUUUGAAUUUUGUUGUAUCCUAAUGAUAAUGUGGGAACUGUGGUAUUACGGAUACAAAAAAUUUUUGUGUGCUAUUUGUUGAUAUUCAGCAUGUUUAUUCAGAAUAUGAAGUUCAUAUUACUGUUAUUGUUAAUGAAGGGUUUACAAAACCAUUAUUAAAUAUAUUGCUUGUCCCUUAUGUUUUCUGUUAUUGUUUGGGAAACUUGAGAUACUUAGUAUAUUAAGUCUGUUGCUACCACCCAAGAGGUUUGAUGAUACAGGCUGAGGUUGAAGUGGGAAAAAUAGUUCAUGUUUUUGUAAAAGGACAGUGUACUUUAGUAAAUCCUGAAAAUGAGACUAUAGAAUGGGUUUUGGGUCGCAGAUCCAGAGUACUACUUUUCAUUUUAUUGCAGGAAAAGCUUAUAGAGGUCUGUAGAAAGAAUCUACCUCUUAUGAGGAGACAAAACUCAGAUGUUUCAUCUGUGGCCAAAUUUUAUGCAAUGGCACUUGAACAUUGUUAAUUAUUAUGAGCAUUUAAAUGUUUUGGUCUUAGGUUUUCAUUUUAUAUUCAAAUGAAAACCUAUCUAGACAUUUUUUUGCCUUUGUAUACAGAUAUAGAGCCUUUGUUUACAGAAAGACAAAUGACACUUAAUAGGCCUUUGCACGUUUUGUCAUAAGGACAAAAUUGUAUGAAAUUACCUGCAAUUCAGAUUGAUUCUGAUAAGACAUUGGUGGGAGCCAUGAAGGGAUACUAGCCAGGAUUUAAUUCAUAAUGCUUUUUCCCAUCCCAUAUAAAAUAAUGUAUUACACAAGUAAUUUUGCAUUAAUUUGACUAGGCAAUAGUUAUUUUUGCAUUAAUGUAACUAUAAAUUGUUCAAAUUAAUUUGUUUUGGUUGCUCACUGGAGUGAUAGAACUAAUAUCAUAAGCAGCAUAUGACAACUUAUUUGAGUGAAGGAAAACAUGGCUAGGUAUCAAGUGUUAUCAAACCAUCCUCUCGGGGACUAACUGGAGACUGAUUCAUUAACACUUGUCAGGAAGGUUGGAUACUUGACUAUCAUGGGAAUUAGAUUUUACCAUUUGAGAGAAUUAGGAAAGGGUUUUUACGGUGCAAAGUGAAAAAUAUGUAAUCAUUUUUGUUUGUCUGGUCAGUCAAGAAGUCUCGUCUAACUAGUUAACCUCGUGGAAACACACACACGGCUUAGUGACCUCAUGGAAAGAUUGAUCAAGACCAUCCAUUGUCAAAAUUUGUCAUUCCCCUUAGGCCAUGCUCAGUUUCUGGAAUGGUUAAGAAUAAAAAAUUUCUGAUCAAAUAGUUAAAUUGUUUAACCAGACCAGUGACUCAACCAUUUCACUUCAUAGGAGUGGCUUCUAAUCUGCAAAACUUGUCACCAUAAACCACUUUGAAGUAAAACAAUAUUUUAAUUUUAGAUUUAUUUUGAAAGGUUCAAUUGGAGUUCCAUCAAUUACAGACUACAAAUGUACACAGUUACAAAGUAUAGCAAUUAUAUGUAAUACUUUGCUGCACUAGUUAAUAAACAUUAUAGUACCUA